GUGGGGAAUCUUCCGCAAUGGACGAAAGUCUGACGGAGCAACGCCGCGUGAGUGAAGAAGGUUUUCGGAUCGUAAAGCUCUUUCGUUAGGGACGAACGUGCUCUUUGUGAAUAAUGAGGAGUAAUGACGGUACCUAAAUAAGAAGCCACGGCUAACUACGUGCCAGCAGCCGCGGUAAUACGUAGGUGGCAAGCGUUGUCCGGAAUUAUUGGGCGUAAAGCGCGCGCAGGCGGGAUAUCAAGUCUGUCUUAAAAGUGCGAGGCUCAACCUCGUGAGGGGACAGAAACUGGUAUUCUUGAGUGUCGGAGAGGAAAGUGGAAUUCCAAGUGUAGCGGUGAAAUGCGUAGAGAUUUGGAAGAACACCAGUGGCGAAGGCGACUUUCUGGACGAUGUCUGACGCUGAGGCGCGAAAGCUAGGGGAGCGAACGGGAUUAGAAACCCCUGUAGUC
rnacentral:rRNA from 1 species